rnacentral:rRNA from 1 species
GACGAACGCUGGCGGCGUGCUUAACACAUGCAAGUCGAGCGGUAAGGCCCUUUCGGGGGUACACGAGCGGCGAACGGGUGAGUAACACGUGGGUGACCUGCCCUCAGCUCUGGGAUAAGCCUGGGAAACCGGGUCUAAUACCGGAUAUGACUCCAUGACGCAUGUUGUGGGGUGGAAAGCCUUGUGCGGCUGAGGAUGGGCCCGCGGCCUAUCAGCUUGUUGGUGGGGUGAUGGCCUACCAAGGCGACGACGGGUAGCCGGCCUGAGAGGGCGACCGGCCACACUGGGGACUGAGACACGGCCCAGACUCCUACGGGAGGCAGCAGUGGGGAAUCUUGCGCAAUGGGCGAAAGCCUGACGCAGCGACGCCGCGUGAGGGAUGACGGCCUGGUGUAAC